UUUUUUAUGUCCUAAAAAUUCCUUCUUUUGCAGCGCUGAUUUAAGCUUCAAUUGAAUUACAAGAAAAAAACAAGCUCAAAUGGAUUUGGAAUGAACUCGUCAAACAACCUGUCGUGUUUGGACGUCAGCCUUUCUGUCCCAGACAUCCAGACAUUUUAGUAUCGCAGAGAGCGUGGUUUUCUGCCACGGAUAACUGGACAGUCUGGAAGAAAAAUGAACAUGAUAUAACUGGGCAUCAUCUGCAGAUUUAUCCCACAGUGUGAUAAGAAAUAAAACAUAUCCACCAUCGACAGCCAGGACUGUGGAUACUAGACUUCCACGAUGCCCGCCGUGUGACCUUACCACCAAGAAUGAAGACUUCUCACACCAGGAAAUGUUUCCACAGAGUUCUACAGUCAA